rnacentral:rRNA from 1 species
UACGAAGGGGGCUAGCGUUGUUCGGAAUCACUGGGCGUAAAGCGCACGUAGGCGGAUUUUUAAGUCAGGGGUGAAAUCCCGGGGCUCAACCUCGGAACUGCCUUUGAUACUGGAGAUCUUGAGUCCGGAAGAGGUAAGUGGAACUGCGAGUGUAGAGGUGAAAUUCGUAGAUAUUCGCAAGAACACCAGUGGCGAAGGCGGCUUACUGGUCCGGAACUGACGCUGAGGUGCGAAAGCGUGGGGAG